UCAUUUGGGUCAAAAAUGCACUCUUAAUUUUGAAUAUGCUAUUAAAUUGUUUUGGCAACAUUCUUCCUGUAAAAAAUUCCAACUACAAGAAACAAUAAACUCUUAUCCCAGUGUUUUAUUCAUAACCAAUAUGUACACAAGCUAUUUGUGAUCUUAAAAUGAAAAACAUCAGGGGGUUGAAAAAAAAAUAAAACAAGACUCAAUUAAAAUCUGAAUUCCAAGCUUGACCUCACUUCAACUCUUUUAACUAAGUGAAGUUGUCCUGUCAGGAGUUAUUAUGUAGUUCUGUGGGUGCAAGAUGCUUUGCAGGCUUGGCUUGUACUCCUCUGUAGGAUCUUAAUCUAGUAAUCUUUCACUGUGCUCUUCAGCAACACUCAUUGCUGUAGAUAUUUCAGACCUGAACAGAGACAUUAUAAGCAAAGCUAGCAUACUUUCACGUUGUGCAUUGAAGGAAAUAAUUCCUGUUUUAGCUGAUUCUUAAAAGAAACUGGAAGAAUAUGGGAAAGGUGGUGGUGUUUCAUUGUUCUUAUUACUAUUGAUUUUGUUUUGUUUUUAACUUCUUGUUUACCAACCAAAAGAGUGUGCAUGUAUAUGUAUCCAACUUCCUUUACCUGAGAGUCUGAGCCCUAACCUAAAGUAUGUGUUUACAGCAUUACCUAGAUAAUCUGCCAUAUUUCUCUAAGGAAUAAUUUUGUUAAUUUUUUUUGUGUGAGUUUUUGUAUUGAUGAUGCAGAUCCUUUUGUCUAAUAUAGACUUUUUAAACUUUGCAAAGGACACUGUCUUCCAUAAGUGACCUUUGCUUUGUAUGAAAUACACAUAAUUAUUUCUGAUUCUCUUGUUUUUGUCUGUUGGAACUUUUUGUGCAUUUAAAUCAAAAUUGAAGAGUACACCCACCGUCUGUUCUGUAUUGAAAAUAUUUACACCAUCCUGGUUAUCUUACCCGUGUAUUUUUAUUGUCCAGUACAUGAUUUCCCUAUUGCCUAUGGCCUAUCAGUCCACCCUUUUUACUGCCUCACAGUGAGUACAUCUGUUGCUGCUGACACCAUUAGUGCUGGCGUACGCAUUUGCUCUGCAGGAACUGGGUCUGACCUCUUCCAUGAAAUUUCAGUUAAGCUUCUUACUUGAAUGUCUAUGCAGUCAUCACUGUAUGUAACUUGGUGAUGUGUUUCUUCAAUGUUCUCACUACUCUAUUUCACAAAUUAAACCUUCUUUUUUUUUUUCUUACCCAACAAACCACCCCUUCCUUCUGACUAAUUUUGCACAUUUACAGUUCCUCAACAUUAAUGAUUCUAAACCUCCAAAUUUACUUGGUAUAGAAGAGAACUUGAACUCCAAAAUGAGAGUAAAAAAAAAAAAGUAGAAUCUCAAUCAUCAUUGGCCUGAUUCAUGUGAAGCUCAACUACUUAUUUAUUUUAGAUGCAGUGCUUCAUCUCAAUACAAACCUGGAUGACUGCAGCUACUGCAUCUGAUUAUAUUCUUCCAUGUUUUAUUCAGAUUUGAUUCCAUGAGUUAAAUCUUUGCUGUUGAGGCUAAUAGUAAAUGUUCCUUGAUAUCAUCAAAAUUGAUUUCCAUUGUGAUGUAGUAGUUCAGCAGAAAUUCCCAGGCACAGAAAUCAGCAGAAUUCAUUUUCCUUGCCCAUGUGACCUGAAGCGAUGGCCAGCUAAUUCCAAUUCCUUAUAUUUUCUGUUCCAGCAAAUCAUUGUGUGAUUUAACAGAGCAAAAAAAAAAUAGUAUAUUAACUCAGUGGUUCAUUGUGAAAUGUUGUUUAUUAUCUUUCCACAGAAGAAGAAUAAAUUUUGAUGGAAAUAUUCAAUUCUGUCUUUUCGUUUGAAUUUGCUGGAAUAGGCUGAGAAGUGAAAGGCUGUCUGUCAGCUCUGGCAAGAACCAGGCACUAAAAGUCUGAAGUUUUCUUCACAGUGCUACAAGGCUAUGUGCUUGGCAGCAUCCUUCCUUCACUGCACUCUGAAAAUCCAGCCCUCCAUAUUCAUGUGAUAACUCUGUGACACAAACUGAAGUUUUCAUUGCAUGAGGCUCAAUCACAUGUGAGCACAUGGCUGAUACCAUCAAGCUCAAAUCCAGAUCUCAAGCAGUAUAAGAAAUUAACCCAGCAUGGCCUUUAGGCAUUGCCAAAGCCAUCAGUAACUACGAAAACUCCCAGAAAGCUCCAGGAACAGUUGUGGAUGUGUCUGUGUAGCAGAGGGUGGGUGAUUACAUGUGGUUUGAACACCUUGACCAAGGGAUUAGUAUUUCAGUGGAAGACUCACAUUAAACAGAAAUGGUUUUACUUUCCAAGGACAAGGGCAGGUGACAGGUCUUUAAGUCUGCCUUCUGCCAUGAUGAGAGAGAAAAUUACCUUCUCUAUAUCCGAGCUUGUACAGGCCUUCUCUGUAAUGGCCUAGCAUUACCUGUUCUGCUUGCUUAGUGUUGUCAUGGUCCAGAUUCUUCCUUUUCUAGCAGUCUUUAAAAUCUCUCCUUUACUUACUGGCUUUCACUUUUGUCUCAGUUUUGCCAAUCACAGCUGUGUCUGCUUCUGCAAGUCCAUUUUUCCUCUUAUAUCUGUAUUAAAAUAUGCCUAGAUGCCAGUUAAUAUACUAAAUCCAUUAGUUCAAAUAAUUUUUGCAGCAAAAAUGAGCAUUCAAGAUUCAGAUGUUGCAUCAUUUAUACAGGAAUUUUGGGAAAGCAUGUUAUGUUACAUUUUCUUUUUUCUUAAAAAAUUUCAAAUGUUCAGGCUUCACAUAUUUCGAUAAUGGCAUUUGAUUGCAAUGCCAAAAGCUUUAUUGGCUUUACACUUUGCCCAUUCAGCUUCUGGAUUGCUCUGUUCUCUGCCUUCUAGGUUUCUACACAAGAGUUAGCUUUUAAUUAUGUGACCACAUCAUGUUUUUCAUAGACCAUUGCCUUGAGAGUGCAAGGGUUGCAGAGGUGGUAAGUUUUCUGUCAUUGCUCAGGCUUGGUGUCUCUCAGCUUUGAAUAUUGGAAAUUGUUAACAUCCAAGAGCGUGUUGUCAGCCCCGAAGUUUUGGAAAUUCCUUUGUGACCUUCAUUCACAAAUGCCCCUCGAACCUAGCGUAGCACAGCAGUGCUGAGAGGCAGUGGGAGUGUAAGUGAAUGAACGCUGGAUGUGCUGCAGGAAGGAGAGAGUCCUGGAGAGUUUAUGACCAUCUAAUCUUUGAGAUAGAGUCUGCAUUCUGGGAAGUGCCAGGGAUUCCUUGUACUUUCAGAUUACUGCUAUGAUGGCAAUGUUCUGCUGUAGCACAGGAAAGUGAGAGAUAUGGUAACCUCUGGAGAGCAUUUUUAUGUUUUUGAGGACAUUUUACUUCCUAAUAGGAUGUAAGAUGUUGAUGACACUGAAAGCCCCAAAGAGUUUGUUUUAGCUGAUUGUACCUUACCUCACAGGGAGUAUGGUGUAAGCUUUUCCCUCUUAGUUGCUAUUCUGUGAGGCUGUGCUAUGAUCAGCAUAUUUAAUUUCUGCAGUUGAGAGUGCCAUUAAGCUUUCCUUGGAAAGGAGCAGGAUUCAGUUUGCCAGAUCCUUUUGCCUCUCCCUCCUGUAAUUUCAGAUGGUGGAACCAGAACUACGUAUCUGUUGCUUUGUGGUUUGUUUUUCCAAACACCAACAGAUAUGGGGGGAGCAGGGAGGAUCUUUUACUUUUUUUGAACUAACCUAAUGGUGACUUUUCCCAUAUAUCUCAUUUUUGUAAUCCUGAAGUGGAUUACACAGUCUAGAUAAAAAAUGCAGCUUUAUAUAAAACGUUUUUCAAUCCCUUCUUAGUAUGUUUAUGUUGAAGCUUGGCUAGAGCUCAUUGAAUUAUUUCCAAUAGUCCAAAGACUGUUUAAAAACUGCUGUCCAUGUGUUUCUUUUCAUCAUUGUUUGAAUGGUCUUUUUUCAAUUCCAUGGACCUUGUUCACUUCUGACAUUUCAUUAAACUGUUAGAGGAAGUUGAGAUUAGUCAGGUCAUUUCAAAUCAACACAGCAGAGUCAUUCAGCUGCAAUAUGAGGGGCGAAGAAAUGCCUACACAUUUGAGUUCCAGGCUAGAUACUAAAUGCCACACCAGACAGAGACAUUAUCCCAGCUGCCCAGCUGGGUUCAUAUCUUAGAGCAAAACGAGUCUGUAUUAUGAAAUUGCUAUAUGGGACUCAAAUUACAGUCCAGUUACAGGGACAGAGAGGAGGAUGCUUUGCACUGAAACUUAUUUUCUUUCUCUAUGUUGAAUAUCUAGUUGCCUUCAUACAUGGUUUGUAUUAAGGAGCCCAGAUACCCAGUAUCAAGUUAACAUAAGCAACUUCAGAGAGAUAUCCUCACCCUUCUGCAAAGAGCUCAAGCAUUCUGGGCUGGUACAAGUUGUGUGCUAGAGCUUUGAGGAUAAUUCCUGCUGCUUCUUUGUGCUGACAUUGUGCAGUUGGAGAAGGCUGUGAUCACGUGGUAUUUCUUCUAGUGGAGUGCAACAUUCUUUACCAGCUUAAGACUUAACCUGUCUGCAGUCUUUCAGUUUCAGAGAGAGAAUUUGCAUAAUUAAAUUCCUCCCAUGUUACAGAAAUACAGGUACAUAUGGGUGCAGACAGAUGAACAAAUGGGCAGAAGAUCACAUCCUGCCUUUGCUGAAGUUACCAUGACCAUUUACUCUUGCCUAGGAAACUGCAGUCUUCUUGUAUCUUGAUUUAUUGAGCCCUAGAAAUUAUGUCUUUGAUUUUCAGUGUUGUUUCAGGUUUAAAUGUUAUCUUCUCUGGCCUUGUUAUGACAUAUACAAAAGGAAUGAGUUUAGGGAUAACCUCUGAUCCAGGUAGCUGUAAGAGAAGCUGUACUUCUCUGAAAUAUUAGCUAGGAUAUUGAAAGUAUAACAAAAUUUGCUAUUUUGAGUGGUUAGUUUUUAUAUUUUAUUUUUAUUUAAAUAUCUGAAGUCUGGCCUGAAACUAUGUAUUCCAGAAGAAGAGAACAAGUGAAUUAAAGACUGCAGAAAGUACUCUUUGAACUGAGCGUACUUGUGUACAGGACAGAUAAGUACUUCUUUUCUGCAGGUAGGCAUCAUAGCAAUUGCAAUCAGUGAUGGGAUAGAUCUCCAGAAAUAAACUCUUACCUACAGUGCACAUUGUUUCUCAUUCCUUCCCUGUCUUAUGUUGUAGAUAGCUCAGGUGCCCUAAUUAACCCCUUUCAGACAGGUUUACUCACCUGAUUUGCAUCUGGGUAAUAAAUUUCCAUCUAGUGGCAUCAAAGGAGCACGUACGUAACCACAGGCUCUCACACCUUCCUUGGGAGCUUAUGAGACCCUCCUAGUUUCUUCCAUAGUAAAGUCUUCCUUGUUUCCCAUCUGCACUGAAAUGUCAAUACUUAUCUCCUAAGCCAAACUGCAAGAAAACUUCAGCCAUAGGGUAAACUGGCUUCUAUGGUUUUGUUGUGAGAGCAUUAUACUGUUUUCUUUACCUUUUACUUUCGUCCCUAUUUAUUCAUACUGAAAAAAUCAGGCUAUUGGACAGCAGAAUGUUUUAACAUUGUGUGUGCUUCUCAGAGCACCCUGACUCAAGUCUCUAAGAAUUAAUCUGAUAAAAUGAUCUGUGCUGAAUCAGGGACAGAACCACAUCAACUCCAUUUUAUCCAGAAUAUGAAAGGUCUGGAAAAAAAUUCACUGAAAAAAUAAGCUCCAUAAGAAAGUGAAGUACAAAGGCAAAGCUUUAAAAGUCAUCAAAACAAAAUUUCCUGGCAAAGGCAGCCUAAACCUCUGGGUUAUUUGGGCCUACUGCCAUCAAUAGGAAUCCUUUCCUUUCAGUGGGCACUGAUUCAGGCCUUGAAGAAAUUGCUCUUGAAAAGAUUCUGGCAGUGACAAGAUAAUUCCAUCAGAAACAGCAGUAUUCAGCUUUCCAUGCAAGAAGCUGAGUGUACUUCAGUAGCUUUGAUUCAGGUGUGGUCAGACCUGCAGUAUAGUUCAUAUAUUACAUUGUAGAGUACAAUAAAACAGAUUUCACCUUUUAAAAAGUGCUGGAAAGGUGAAUCCCAGACUAAAACACAGUAUAGUGAGAAGUACAUUUAUAGUUUUAAUGUGGGUUCGUUGCGCUUUUUUUUUGUUGUUUUAUUUUGUAAUGGCAACUUAUUCAGAAAAAAAACUUUAAUACUUUUAACCUACUCUCAGCUGGCUAUUUCAUCGUAGGGUGUAUCUUGCCUUUCUCUGACUCUUUGGGCAAGACACCUAAGAACUCUGGGAUUUGUUCAUGGCUACACUGUUGCACCCCUAUGCGCUUAUUCAGUUACAGUUAUUUGUCAGCAGCAUUUCUCUGUAGAGUAUUUUAUAGCACUUGAACCACACAGAAAGUGUGCACUGAGAUGGACCUGCUAAAUUUGGUGAAUAAUCAGCUGUGUAUAGAUGUUGUCAUGUAUUUCUGGGGAAGAAAAGGAAACACUAAGGGCACUCUGUCCUUUUCAAAAACACUUACAAGGAAUGGUCUUCCAUUCCUUCUACAGAGCUGCAAAAGAUCCUCUCUUUUUGAAGCUCUAUGUGAAUUUCCACACAGCUCACUACCUUCUCUACUGAUGGGAGCCACAAAUCUCAAGCUAGCAGAUAGCUGAAGAGCGGACUGUGAACUUUUUUGACCAUGUUUAUUUUAAAAUGUUAAACUGAACAAUAUGUGAAGUCACAGAAGCCCCAGAACUCAGUUUUCUGAUGUGUUUCUCUUUUGGCACCACUACCUACUCAUUGUAUCAUACUACUUUUUUGUCAUGGACUUAUCUCUAGAUCUGUCUGUGUUCAUGAUGGGGACAGCAGGUCCACAGGCCCACCAGCCUGAAAAAAGAGGGGAAGGGAACAAAAAGGGAAAGAAACAAUAAUGAAUAAAUAAAUAAAAACAGUGGCAACAAUCUGGGAAGGAAAGCUAAUUUACUAAUUGUAAUACCAGGAAUACAAGUUAAUUGGAAUUGAAGCUAAUAAACCAAAUAAAUGAGAGACAGUGUCCAAAACUGAAGGCCUUACUCUAAAGCUGAAGGCAAGAUGGCUACGGAGCAAGACGCUGCCAAAACGAGCAGAAAAGGAGAAGGGGUGUCUCAUGACCUGUGAACAGUUUUAUCUUUCCCUCUGAAUGGAAAACAGAAAUGCAGAGUCCUCUGGGGUACAUAGUUGUUCUUCUGAGAACCAGGCACCCGGAAAAUCAGCAGUCCAUGGAG